GAUGAACGCUGGCGGCGUGCUUAACACAUGCAAGUCGAGCGAGAAGUUUUGAAAAGAUUCUUCGGAUGAAAUUUAAAAUGGAAAGCGGCGGACGGGUGAGUAACGCGUAGGCAACCUGCCCCAUACAAAGGGAUAGCAUUUGGAAACGAAUAUUAAUACCUUAUGAAACUUAACUAGUGCAUGCUAGGUAGGUCAAAGAUUUAUCGGUAUGGGAUGGGCCUGCGUCUGAUUAGCUAGUUGGUGAGGUAACGGCUCACCAAGGCGACGAUCAGUAGCCGACCUGAGAGGGUGAACGGCCACAUUGGAACUGAGACACGGUCCAAACUCCUACGGGAGGCAGCAGUGGGGAAUAUUGCACAAUGGGGGAAACCCUGAUGCAGCAACGCCGCGUGAACGAUGAAGGCCUUUGGGUCGUAAAGUUCUGUUCUGGGUGAUGAAAACUGACAGUAACCUAGGAGAAAGCCCCGGCUAACUCCGUG
rnacentral:rRNA from 1 species